UGCCCCGUCUGACACACAAAGGAAACGUGUGUGGAAUGAGGAGACGGAUGGAUGGCCGAACAUGGCAGAUCAGCAGCAGGAGGGACUCAAACGCCAAUCAACCCGGCAGUGCACACCCUCGGCCUCUCUGCUAUUCGUAGAUGUUUGUGGGCCAGGAGCCAGGGGCAGGUGUAGGCCAAGGUUGCUGACUUCUCUUCUUUCCAUUCAAACACAACACACAUUUCCUGGGGACUUUGUAUGCAGAGCCCUGAGCUGAGGCUGGGUGCUGGGAGACCACAGACAGACUCUGUCCCUGCUCCGGAGGUGCCCAGAAGGUUCUGUGAACCAGGAUACAGCCGCCAAGAAGCAAGGUGUGCCUCUUCCAAAGGCGACCAAGAGGGGCCUAGAAGUGGCUCUGAGCCAACCUGACAGGAAAGUUGGCAGGUGAGGAAGGGGUUCAGAGACCUGGCGGAUAAGUAAAUUAACAGUAGCAAGAGAGGCCAGGCCAGUGGUGACUGGGAUUCAAAUUAAAACAAGAUCGAUUAAAUAAUGAUUGAGGGCCAGGUG
rnacentral:lncRNA from 1 species